rnacentral:rRNA from 1 species
GUUUCCGUAGGUGAACCUGCGGAAGGAUCAUUAUUGAACAAACUUGGUCGGGUUGUUGCUGGCACUCUAUGGGGGCAUGUGCACGCUUGUCAUCUUUAUUUUUCCACCUGUGCACUUUUAUGUAGACUUUUGGAAUAUCUUUCGUGGGGUCACACUCUCGGUUUCGAAGGGGAGUGUCACAGCUUGGCUUCCUUCGUAUUUCCUCGGUCUAUGCUUUUCAUAUACUCCUUAAUGUAUGUAUUACAGAAUGUCUUGUUAUUGGCCUUUGUGCCUUUAAUCUAUAUACAACUUUCAGCAACGGAUCUCUUGGCUCUCGCAUCGAUGAAGAACGCAGCGAAAUGCGAUAAGUAAUGUGAAUUGCAGAAUUCAGUGAAUCAUCGAAUCUUUGAACGCACCUUGCGCUCCUUGGUAUUCUGAGGAGCAUGCCUGUUUGAGUGUCAUUAAAUUCUCAAUCUUACCUUCUUUUGAAAUAGAGUUGGGAUAUGGCUUGGAUUGUGGGGGUUUUACCUUUGCGGGCUUCAUGCUGGAAGGUCGGCUCCCCUUAAAUGUAUUAGCGGGUCCCUUCUGUUGAAUCUGUCUAUCCUGGUGUGAUAAUUAUCUACGCUUUUGGGCUUUCUGGUUUUUUAUAUAUGGGGGUGUUCUGCUUCUAACUUGUAUCACCCUAUUUUACUUGGGGGGGAACCCUAAUAAUGACCAUUUUGACCUCAAAUCCGGUAGGACUACCCGCUGAACUUAAGCAUAUCAAUAAGCGGAAGAAAAGAAACAGCUACAACCAAGGAUUCCCCUAAAAACUGGGAAGGGAAGGGGGAAAAA